rnacentral:rRNA from 1 species
GCUACGGGGGGCAGUAGUGAGGAAUAUUGGUCAAUGGACGCAAGUCUGAACCAGCCAAGUAGCGUGCAGGAUGACGGCCCUCCGGGUUGUAAACUGCUUUUAGUUGGGAAUAAAAGGGGGCUCGUGAGCCCCGUAUUGUAUGUACCAUCAGAAAAAGGACCGGCUAAUUCCGUGCCAGCAGCAGCGGUAAUACGGAAGGUACGGGCGUUAUCCGGGUUUAUUGGGGUUAAAGGGAGCUAAUGCCGGCUUUUAAGUCAGCUGUGAAAGGCCGCGGCCCAACCGUGGAAUUGCAGUUGGAACGGGAGGCCUUGAGUGCACACAGGGAUGCCGGAAUUCAUGGUGUAGCGGUGAAAUGCUUAGAUAUCAUGAAGAACUCCGAUCGCGAAGGCAAGUGUCCGGGGUGCAACUGACGCUGAGGCUCGAAAGUGCGGGUAUCAAACAGGAUUAGAUACCCCGGUAGUC